rnacentral:siRNA from 1 species
UUAAUUCAUGACCAAGUGCUCACA